CCGGUUCCCUAGAGGGACCCCACUGCAAUCAGAGGUGGAGUAAAGCCAUUUUAGUCGACGUACCAAUGCGCGGCGAACGGCUCAGUAACACGUAGUCAACAUGCCCAGGGGACGUGGAUAACCUCGGGAAACUGAGAAUAAACCACGAUAGGUCACGAUUUCUGGAAUGGAUCAUGGCCUAAAUCUACAUGGCCCCUGGAUUGGACUGCGGCCGAUCAGGCUGUUGGUGAGGUAAUGGCCCACCAAACCUAUAACCGGUACGGGCUCUGAGAGGAGAAGCCCGGAGAUGGGCACUGAGACAAGGGCCCAGGCCCUAUGGGGCGCAGCAGGCGCGAAACCUUAGCAAUGCGCGAAAGCGUGACGAGGUUAAUCCGAGUGGUCCCCGCUUAGGGGAUCUUUUGUCGGCUGUAAAAAGGCCGGUGAAUAAGGGGAGGGCAAGUCUGGUGUCAGCCGCCGCGGUAAUACCAGCUCCUCGAGUGGUCGGGGCGAUUAUUGGGCCUAAAGCAUCCGUAGCCUGUUCCGUAGGUCCCCUGUUAAAUCCAACGGCUUAACCGUUGGCAUGCAGAGGAUACCGCGGGACUAGGAGGCGGGAGAGGCGGGCGGUACUCCACGUGUAGGGGUAAAAUCCUUUGAUCCGUGGAAGACCACCAGUGGCGAAGGCGGCCCGCCAGAACGCGCUCGACGGUGAGGGAUGAAAGCUGGGGGAGCGAACCGGAUUAGAUACCCGGGUAGUCCCAGCCGUAAACGAUGCGAGCUAGAUGAUCCAAUCGCAAAUCGCGAUUGGAGUGUCGCAGGGAAGCCGUUAAGCUCAAAACGCCCUGAGUACGCUCGCANGACUGAAACUUAAACCAUCAGGCGGGGGAGCA
rnacentral:rRNA from 1 species